CCGAACAUGGGUCUUCCAGUGCCGCAGCGAAGGUGUUAAGUCCACUGCCUGGGGAGUACGGUCGCAAGGCUGAAACUUAAAGGAAUUGGCGGGGGAGCACUGCAACGGGAGGAGCGUGCGGUUUAAUUGGAUUCAACGCCGGAAAACUCACCAGGGCCGACUGUCAGAUGAAGACCAGCGUGAUGAGCUUGUCGGAUUGUCAGAGAGGUGGUGCAUGGCCGUCGUCAGUUCGUACCGUAAGGCGUUCUGUUAAGUCAGAUAACGAACGAGACCCUCAUCCUUAUUUGCCACCCGUAUAGCGAUAUGCGGCGCACUAUAGGGAGACCGCUGGUGUGAAACCAGAGGAAGGCGAGGGCAACGGUAGGUCAGUAUGCCCCGAAUGUCCUGGGCUACACGCGCGCUACAAAGGAUCGGACAAUGGGAAGCCACGCCGAGAGGCGGAGCUAUCCCCGAAACCGGUUCAUAGUUCGGAUCGAGGGCUGUAACUCGCCCUCGUGAAGCUGGAUUCCGUAGUAAUCGCGUCUCAAAAUGGCGCGGUGAAUAUGCCC
rnacentral:rRNA from 1 species